UGAUAAAUCUUCCGUCGAAAGCGAUCUAUUCACGACUAGUCGUGUUUACCGAAAAAUUAACGAUGUUAGUUUAAUGACAACAACAUUGAAAAAUAUUCUAGAUCAACAUCAUUAAAAAGGAAUAAAUACAAUACAAUAUUUUAAAGGUUUUCUUGUGGCUUUGAGAUGAUGGCAAAUCAACGAAACUAAAGUGUUUGUGACGACUGGAUCAACUUUAUUCACAUACUUUGAACAGUUUAAGUGCAUAGGGCGAUGGAUUUAAAAUUGCCAAAUUCACAAAACGAGCAGUAUUUCACUUCCAGGACUUCAACUCCUCUACCAAAGAGGAAACCUUUGGAUAAUCAAAAAUGCAGUAUUCAAUAUCAAAAGUUUUGCAAACAUCUUGAAAAACGGUUAAACUUCCCGGAGCCGGUGAACCAAGAUUUCAGUAUAUUAAUAUCACAACACCUACGAGACCGCUGCCGACUUUCGGAAAAACAUCUAGACAGAUUCAAUAAACUCGAAAUAGAAGAAUUUGACUUAAAAUGUACAAUUUCAACGAAAAUUCGCAAAAUACUGGAUUCAAGUUGUAAAAUAGUGGCCAAUGUUACUAAAAACGUUUUUAGUAAGUCACAUUUUGAUACACCAAGGUGAAAAUGGUUUUAAUUAUUACAAAAAAAGCAAUUUAUAGAUAUACAAUACAGUUUUAAGAGUCCCAGUGAAUAACUUACAUAAGCUUGGGCAUAUUUUACUCCGAUGACAAUUACUGUUUGUAAAUAAUUUAUAUUUUUUUAUGUAUUGCAUACAUAUCAUGUCAAACUAAUGCUUUGUAAUGUGGUACACACGUGUAUUAAAAACGAAUUAAAUUUUGAUAAAUGUUCAA